rnacentral:rRNA from 1 species
UACGGAAGGCAGCAGUGGGGAAUAUUGCACAAUGGGCGCAAGCCUGAUGCAGCCAUGCCGCGUGUAUGAAGAAGGCCUUCGGGUUGUAAAGUACUUUCAGUCGUGAGGAAGGUGUUAAGGUUAAUAACCUUAGCAAUUGACGUUAGCGACAGAAGAAGCACCGGCUAACUCCGUGCCAGCAGCCGCGGUAAUACGGAGGGUGCGAGCGUUAAUCGGAAUUACUGGGCGUAAAGGGCACGCAGGCGGUUAAUUAAGUUGGAUGUGAAAUCCCCGGGCUUAACCUGGGAAUGGCAUUCAAGACUGGUUAGCUAGAGUCUUGUAGAGGGGGUAGAAUUCCAUGUGUAGCGGUGAAAUGCGUAGAGAUGUGGAGGAAUACCGGGUGGCGAAGGCGGCCCCCUGGGACAAAGACUGACGCUCAUGUGCGAAAGCGUGGGGAGCAAACAGGAUUAGAUACC